AUGGUGUUUAUUCAUGACGGGGAGGGGAGACAGGUGCUCCAAUAAAGCCUCUCCCCCUCCAUCUCCAGGCUGGCAGGUUGAGGGCUCGGAGUAGGAAAUAAACUGAUUUUCAAAAAUAAAGAAGCUGAUAUGCCUUUCAGUCUUGGGUUUAAGGCCUGCAACUUGUCCUUGCCUCCUUGAUUCCAGGGUACAGACUCAUCCAAGGAAGGGAGGAUCUUUUCCUUUGACAUUAUUUCCUUUACAACUUGUACAAUCCUCUAUUCCUUUGGCAUUUCCAUUUAUUCAUUCAUUCCAUAAAUAUUAAUGGAAAGUCUGCAAUUUGUUAGGUACUGGGUUGAAUGCGGAGGAUUCAGUGGUGAACAAAGCCGGCCCCUGGCCCCACGGACCCUAUAGUCUCACCAGGGAGACAUAUAUUCAUCAAAUAAUUCUACAAAUAUUUAUAUAUACAUAUGUACACCUGGAUAAAGACUGAAAGGAAAACAGAUGCCGCUAUGAGGAUGCUGGUAACUCCAGGCAGAAGGAAAGUGCAAAGGAGAAGGGAGGCAGCACACAUUAUGCAGAAAAUAAGGACAAUAACAGUAAUAACGCUGACUUCGUAACAUUGUGAAGCUUCAAACAGCAGAGGUAAAUACAUCAUGAAAAUGCAGGAUGCCGGAGACUUCCCAUCACGUCCUGAUAUCCUCCUCUCAUCUUCUAGGUAAUAGAACCCCUGAUUUAUAACUCGGCAUUUGGCUGCAGAAAAUAAAGAUCAUAUUUUCCAUCCUCUUUGGCA
rnacentral:lncRNA from 1 species